rnacentral:rRNA from 1 species
AUUGAACGCUGGCGGCAUGCCUUACACAUGCAAGUCGAACGGCAGCACGGGUGCUUGCACCUGGUGGCGAGUGGCGAACGGGUGAGUAAUACAUCGGAACGUACCUUAUCGUGGGGGAUAACGCAGCGAAAGCUGUGCUAAUACCGCAUACGCCCUGAGGGGGAAAGCGAGGGAUCGCAAGACCUCGCGCGAUUAGAGCGGCCGAUGCCUGAUUAGCUUGUUGGUGGGGUAGAAGCCCACCAAGGCGACGAUCAGUAGCUGGUCUGAGAGGACGAUCAGCCACACUGGGACUGAGACACGGCCCAGACUCCUACGGGAGGCAGCAGUGGGGAAUUUUGGACAAUGGGGGCAACCCUGAUCCAGCAAUGCCGCGUGAGUGAAGAAGGCCUUCGGGUUGUAAAGCUCUUUUGUCAGGGAAGAAACACCGGCUCUAACACAGUCCGGGAAUGACGGUACCUGAAGAAUAAGCACCGGCUAACUACGUGCCAGCCGCCGCCGUAA